AAAAAGUCAUUUUGAAACAAUACAUGGUCAUAACAGCAGCAGGGAAGCGAGAUUUCUGCUACAGGAGCAAAUACAAAGCAGUAGUGAUCUGAUCAUUUGUGUUCAAACUUAGUUGGGUUCACAACAUAAACUUCAAAAAAAUCUACACAUCAUACACCACAGCACUCAAGCAACACACCCAGCGCUCACAAAAAUGCCAGCACGCACAGACACACACCAGUGCAUGAAUAAAUGCAUUCAGCACGCACCCUACGUCUUGCUCAGGGCGCACUCGGAGGGCGUUGGUGGACUGGCCGCGGAGGUCGUGAGGACGCAAGGCAGACGCGGCGGCGAACGGGAUGCGGAGCUCAGGGCAGAUGGUGGUCCUGACGGCGCUCCAUCCAAAAACGAGAUCGCACACCACAUAGCGCCUUGUAUCCAUUGACAAGAUGCUAAAAGCAAGUAGUGCAAGUGAUUAAGGACUCCGACGACCGCAAAGAGGUAGAAGUUCAGUUUUCAUGUAAACUUCAGAUUUAGAGGUGCUUAUCUUCCUCUGUGAGUGACCGUACUAGCCAAAUUUCAGAAAAGAAAAUAGUGGUGAGAAAGAAUGCUGAUGUUUGCUGCACCUGGAGACAUGCCGCGGGAGUGAGGCGCUGCGAAGGUGUUGAGGCACCUGGAGACAUGGGCAGGUCGUGGGGGUGCCAUGGGAAGGUCGCGGGGGCGCCAUAGCAAGGUCACGGGGGCGCCCUAGGGCAGGUCGCGGUGGCGGUUGACGGCAAACGGAGGCCACCUCCGUGGUGGAAGCAGGGGAGGAAGGCCGGCAACGAUCUGAGUCGGUGGCGCGCGGCGGCGAGGUGGUCCGGGAAGGAGGCCGGCGACAGUGGAAGAUUGAGGUUGGGGCGACGGCGCCGGUGCUAGUGGAUCCGGGAGUCAGCGGGGCCGGUGGAGCCGGGGCGCGGUGGUGCGCGUGGCCGGGGCCGGUGGCUGCACCGGCGGGUGGAUGUGGUGGCCACUACACCGAUUCGGCUUCCUGGCGGGGGCGACGGUGGCGGCGUGGGGGUUCCUGGUGGUGGGUGGCUGCGGCAUUGUAGGUGGCCGGGGCCAGGCGACGGCGUGGGAGGUGGCCGGGGCCCGGCGGCGGCGCGGGGCGGGGACGGAGGCNNNNNNNNNNNNNNNNNNNNNNNNNNNNNNNNNNNNNNNNNNNNNNNNNNNNNNNNNNNNNNNNNNNNNNNNNNNNNNNNNNNNNNNNNNNNNNNNNNNNNNNNNNNNNNNNNNNNNNNNNNNNNNNNNNNNNNNNNNNNNNNNNNNNNNNNNNNNNNNNNNNNNNNNNNNNNNNNNNNNNNNNNNNNNNNNNNNNNNNNNNNNNNNNNNNNNNNNNNNNNNNNNNNNNNNNNNNNNNNNNNNNNNNNNNNNNNNNNNNNNNNNNNNNNNNNNNNNNNNNNNNNNNNNNNNNNNNNNNNNNNNNNNNNNNNNNNNNNNNNNNNNNNNNNNNNNNNNNNNNNNNNNNNNNNNNNNNNNNNNNNNNNNNNNNNNNNNNNNNNNNNNNNNNNNNNNNNNNNNNNNNNNNNNNNNNNNNNNNNNNNNNNNNNNNNNNNNNNNNNNNNNNNNNNNNNNNNNNNNNNNNNNNNNNNNNNNNNNNNNNNNNNNNNNNNNNNNNNNNNNNNNNNNNNNNNNNNNNNNNNNNNNNNNNNNNNNNNNNNNNNNNNNNNNNNNNNNNNNNNNNNNNNNNNNNNNNNNNNNNNNNUUGCUUACCUUAGUUUUCCUCGAGCUACCUCUUGGCAAGACCGAGCUCUUUCUUGGACCACUCGAGGUUCGGCUUUAGUGCGGCGACCUCCGCAGUCAAUGCGGCAGAGGUCAGCAGUGAAGCCUGCAUAUGCAUACAGACAUACUUAUAUUAUACUCCUGUAGAUAUUAUUUGAUCCUCUAUUCGGCUUUUCUUUGUGAACACCAACCAGAGCAUUAGGGGCUACUGUCUAUGCGGUAAUAUUUUUCCCAUAUUUUAAAUACUUACCUCAAAGCCUGUUAGAAGGCUGGCACAGGCUUCAGUCAGUCCGCUCUUGGCGGACUGAACCUUCUUGAUCACCGCACUCAUAAUAGUGCGGUGCUCUUCGUCAACGGAAGCGCCACGAAGCGCUCCCAGCAGUUCGUCCGGUGCCUCUGGAUAGACAGAGGUCACCGGCACGGACGGCUUGCCCCUCUUGGAAGAGGGCCGCCUGCCCGAGUCCGGAACCACUGGAGGUUCCGGCGCGGUAUCCGGUUGAGGGCCGAACUUGGAGCCUUGCUCCUGGAGUCCGGAAGGUCGCCUUGAGGCGCCUCCGGGACUGUCUCCCCCGGGCUCAGUGCCCCUUGAGACAAUACCUCGGCAUUGUCCGUAGGGCAAGGAGAGGAGGCAGUUGGAAGUGUAUCACUAUUCAUGUCCGACGAGUCUAAGGAACCGUCUGACGAUGAUACGUCGAUACGGGCUUGGGGCGGACUGCAUAAUCAUAUUCAAUGUUAGGAUAAGCAGUGCAACAAAAGUAUGCUAUGAGUUACUCUGGUAUCCAAAUACUUACGACUUCGACAGGGGCUUGGCCCUGAGCAGCCACUCAUCUUCGCCUUCGGUGGCGGUGGUGGAACAGUCCGGAAGGAGAGUCCUUCCCUUCUUGGACCCUUCGGCUUCCCCGGUUGGGGCGGCCUUCCUCUUCUUGUCUCCCCCGGCUGGAGGGGGAGAAUCUUCAUCUUCCUCCUCCUCGUUUUCACGGGAGUAGUGCGCCUCGGAGUUAUCAGACGAUGAGUCCGAUACCACCUGGCGCCGGGAACUCUUUUGGGUUCCCUUGGCCUUCUUCUUGGUCUUCUCCGGCACCUCAUAAGGAGCCGGAGUCCGCAUCUUCGUCAGGAGAGCGUCUGCAGGGUCUUCGGGCAGGGGGGUCGGAUAGUUAAUCUGCUCCUAUGUCUCCACCCAGUCCUGUCAAAGGCAUGGGAGAUCAGACCCCGCACAUGGUUAAGCUAUGGGAAAUAAAUACCCUACUAGAUGUACAGAACUUACCGGAUUCGUAGGGUGCUUCACGCUUAGCCCGUGGUCCUCGGUAAGAGAAGGGGGACCUCGGCGCCCUUGAACAGCACCUUCCAGACAUCCUUAUGCGUCCUGUCGAAGAGCUUGCGUAGAGUCUGGUCCUGGGCCGGGUCGAACUCCCAUAAGUUGAAAUCCCGUUGCUAACACGGGAGGAUCCGGCGGAAGAGCAUGACCUGGACUAUGUUGACAAGCUUAAGUUUCUUGCUUAUCAUGUUCCGGAUACACUUCUGGAGUCCGUCCAGCUCCACCGAUGAACUGCAGGACAGGCCCUUCUCCUUCCAGGAAGUGAGCCGCGUGGGGAUUCCGGAUCAAAACUCGGGGGCCGCCACCUAGUUGGUGUCGCGCGGCUCGGUGAUGUAGAACCACCCUGAUCCACCCCUUUAUGGUCUCCAUGAAGGAGCCCUCGAGCCACGUAAUGUUGGGCAUUUUGCCCACCAUGGCUCCGCCGCAUUCCGCUUGUUGGCCGCCUACUACCUUCGGCUUGAUAUUGAAGGUCUUCAACCAUAGGCCGAAGUGGGGCCGGAUGCGGAGGAAAGCCUCGCACACGACGAUGAACGCUGACAUGUUGAGGAUGAAAUUCGGGGCCAGAUCAUGAAAGUCCAGCCCAUAAUAGAACAUGAGGCCGCGGAUGAAUGGAUGGAGGGGAAGCCCCAGUCCACUGACGAAGUUGGGGAGGAAAACCACCCUUUCAUGAGGUUCCGGGGUAGGGACGAUCUGCCUCGCGACUGGCAGCCGGUGCGCGAUAUCUGCAGCUAAGUAUCCGGCUCCUCAUAGCUUUUUGAUGUGUCCCUCCGUGACAGAGGAGGCCAUCCACUUGCCUCCCGCUCCGGACAUGUUUGGAGAGAGUAGAGGAGAAGUAUGUGGACUUGGGCGCUGGAGCUCGAGUGCGUGAGAAUGGGUGAGCAAGGAGGAAGAAGGCGUGGGUAGAAAAAGGUGAGACCUUAUCCCUUUAUAAGGGCGGACAAAACUAUGCGCCCCCACAAGCCUGGUAAAACUCGCUUAUCCCCCAAGCACCAUAAUUGAUGGCGCAGUUGGGUUGCCCACGUUUGUAUUGAUGACAAUCCUGUGAUAACGGGAACACUAUCUCUACUUUGACAAGACGUGUCAAGAAACCACCUCGCGUUAUGUGCGGGGCUGGUUAGAGAAAAAACGGUUCAAAUAAUUACCGGACCGUGGCGUGAUGUCAUGCUGCCGAAACGUGUCAGCUGAUUAGAUUUGUGGAAAUAUUAUUCUCUCUACGGUGGAACUUAUUUUGCAGGGUCGGACACUAUCCUUGUAUUCGAACUCUUCCGUGGUGUAUUCGGAGGAGGAAUCCGCCUUGCAAUGCCGAAGACAACACUGUGUGUCGGACUCAUCGUCAUUGAAGCCUGGUUCAGGGGCUAUUGAGGGAGUCCUGGAUUAGGGGGUCUCUGGAUAGCCAGACUAUAUCCUUUGGUCGGACUGUUGGACUAUGAAGAUACGAGAUUGAAGACUUUGUCCCGUGUCCGGAUGGGACUCUACUUGGCGUGGAAGGCAAGCUAGGCAAUACGGAUAUGGAUAUCUCCUCCUUUGUAACCGACCUUAUGUAACCCUAGCCUCCUCCGGUGUCUAUAUAAACCGGAGGACUUUAGUCCGUGGGACAACAUACAAUCAUACCAUAGGCUAGCUUCUAGGCUUUAGCCUCUCUGAUCUCGUGGUAGAUCAACUCUUGUACUACUCAUAUUAUCAAGAAUAAUCAAGCAAGACGUAGGGUUUUACCUCCAUCAAGAAGGCCUGAACCUGGGUAAAACAUCGUGUCCCCUGCCUCAUGUUACCAUCUGCCUUAGACGCAUAGUUCGGGACCCCCUACCGGAGAUCCCCCGAUUUUGACACCGACACCGACCUAGAUCAUCAGUUGGCUCAUCUGAUGCCUCUUCUUCAGCUUAUUCCCGCAUUGUCGGCUCAGCUUCUUCCUGCAUUGCCGGCUCAGCUUCUUCCCCCAUUGUCGUAUCAUCAUAUUCAGGGAAUCCAUGGCCAGGAUAGCUAUCAUCAUCCUCUUCUUUUUCAUUUUCUUCCAUCAUAACCUCUCUUUCUCCAUGCUUGGUCCAAACAUUAUAGUGGGGCAUGAAACCGGACUCAAACAGGUGGACGUGAAUGGUUCUUGAGUUAGAGUAAUUGUGAUCAUUCUUGAAGCCAGCACAUGGACACGGCAUAAAACCAUCCACCUGCUUGUUUGCCUGAGCCGCAAUCAGAAAAGUAUGCACGCCCUCAACGAACUGGGGAGAGCAUUGGUCAUCGUACAUCCAUUGCCGGCUCAUCUUCAUUACACAUCACCGAAUAGACCAAAUUAAUACAAGUUCAUACAUAAAGUUCAUACAACACUUAUUAUCAUAAAACAAACAUAUAAAUAACUCUCUAGCUAAAGCAUUUAAAUGCAACAACAAAUGUGAUCAAGAUUGCAAACUAAGGUAACAAUUGAUCCAACAACAUAAUGAUACCAAGCCUCACUAUCAAUGGCAUAUUUUCUAAUCUUUCUAAUCUUCAAGCGCAUUUUCUCCAUCUUGAUCGUGUGAUCAUCGACGACAUCGGCAACAUGCAACUCCAAUUCCAUCUUCUCCCCCUCAAUUAUUUUCAAAUUUUCUUUCAAACACUCGUUUUCCCUUUCAACUAAAUUUAACCUCUCGACAAUAGGGUCAGUUGGAAUUUCCGGUUCACAUACCUCCUAGAUAAAAAUAUCUAUGUGAACUUGAUGGGCAUAAUUUGUCAUAAAUAUGAAAUGCAACAAAUAGUUAUAAAGGAAAAUAUACCGCAUCUGAAUCAUAACCUGGACGAGGGCCGACGGGGACGAAUAUCAAAACCAUGGCACUAUGAAUAACAAACAACGUACGGGUAAGAUAAUUAUACAAGUAACUAUAUAUCUAAAUCACACAAACAUGAUUUUUUUUAUAAAAAAAGAUAAGAACAAGAGGCUCACCAUAAGAACGUGGUGCCGGUGACGGGACAGUGCGGACGAUCGACGGUGGUUAGGACGGAGACGGGAAGGCACUAAGUAAACCAAACCUACAUAUGCAAACUAAGAGUUAUUUUGAGCUCAAAUUGCAUAUAAAUAAAAUAAACUACCACAUAUAAUUCCUCCCAAAUUGCUAAAACCCACAAAUUAAUCACUGUAUAAAGCAUUGCAAGAGCUAAUCUAGCAAUGAGAGAUGAAAGGACAAAGUUGCUUACCUCUCUGAUCACUUGAAUGGAUGGGGGCCUUCAAAUCUUGACAAAUUUUGGGCAAAAUGUGUGAUGAGCUCGAGGAGGAGGGGAAGAACAGAGAGGAAAGGGGAAAGGGGGAAAACAGAGCGAGCUCGAUCAUGGUUGGACGAAGGGUUUAUAUAGGACGACCUUUACUACCAGUUCAUGGCACGAACCAGUACUAAAGGUGUUGGAGGGGCCCCAGUCUGACAACAUCCUGCCACCACUCUCUUUAGCACUGAUUCGUGACAUGAACCGAUGCUAAAGGUUCGCAAUGAACCGGUACUAAUGAGAGUGGCCCGCCCAUAUGUUUUCGAUAAAGUAUUCUCUCUCCCUUGCCGUGCUUUUUUACCCUCCCGAUUGUAGGUAAUGCGAGCUUCUUGUAGGAAAUAUGCCCAAGAGGCAAUGAUAAAAUAGUUAUCAUCAUAUUUCCCGUUCAUGAUAAAUUUUUAUUAUUCAUGCUAGAAUUGUAUUGACCGGAAACUUAAAUACAUGUGUGAAUACAUAAACUACACAGUUUCCCUAGUAAACCUCUACUAGACUAGCUCGUUGAUCAAAGAUGGUUAAGGUUUCCUAACCAUGGACAUGAGUUGUCAUUUGAUAAUGGGAUCACAUCAUUAGGAUAAUGAUGUGAUGGAAAGACCCAACCGUAAGCUUAGCAUCAGAUCGUUUAAGUUAUUUGCUAUAGCUUUCUUCAUGUCAAGUAUCUGUUCCUUCGACCUUGAGAUCAUGCCACUUCCGGAUACCGGAGGGAUGCCUUGUGUGCUAUCAAACGUCACAUCAUAACUUGGUGAUCAUAAAGGUGAUCUACAGGUAUAUCCGAUGGCGUCUGUUGCGUUUCAUGGAUCGAGACUGGGAUUUGUUGCUCCGUGUGACGGAGAGAUAUCUCUCGGCCCUCUCGAUAAUACAACAUCAUAAGAAGCUUCAGGUGACUAAUGAGUUUAGUCACGAGAUCUUGUAUUAUGGAAUGAGUUUAGUCGACUAUGGAGAUACCAACGAUCGAAUCUUGGAAAAGUAACAUAUCGCCUGGUAAAGGGAAUUGCAUACGGUAUUGACUGAAUCCUUGACAUUGUCUUCAUUGAAUAUGUAGGAAUUGGUACCUAUUGAGAAUGCGUUGGUUUUCCCUUGAAGAGGAAAGGGUGAUGCGGCAAAGUAGCUUAAGUAUUUCCCUCGGUUUUUGAGAACCAAGGUAUCAAUCCAGUAGGAGACUACACGCAAGUCCCUCGUACCUGCACAAACAAUCAAGAACCUUGCAAUCAACGCGAUAAAGGGGUUGUCAGUCCCUUCACGGCCACUUGCAAAAGUGAGAUAUGAUAAAGAUAAUAAGAUAAAUAUUUUUGGUACUUUUGUUGUAUAGAUUGAAAAGUAAAGAUUGCAAAAUAAAUUGCGAUAGAAAUAGCUAGUUGACAGGAAAAUAAUAUAAUGGAGAAUAGACCCGGGGGCCAUAGGUUUCACUAGUGGCUUCUCUCAAGAUAGCAUAAUCUACGGUGGGUGAACAAAUUACUGUCGAGCAAUUGAUAGAAAAGUGAAUAGUUAUGAGAAUAUCUAGGCAUGAUCAUGUAUAUAGGCAUCACGUCCGUGACAAGUAGACCGAAACGAUUCUGCAUUUACUACUAUUACUCCACACAUCGACCGCUAUCCAGCAUGCAUCUAGAGUAUUAAGUUCAUAAGAACAGAGUAACACAUUAGGGAAGAUGACAUGAUGUAAAGGGAUAAACUCAAGCAAUAUGAUAUAAACCCCAUCUCUUUAUCCUCGAUGGCAACAAUACAAUACAUGCCUUGCUGCCCCUGCUGUCACUGGGAAAGGACACCGCAAGAUUGAACCCAAAGCUAAACACUUCUUCCAUUGCAAGAACGAUCAAUCUAGUAGGCCAAACCAAACUGAUAAUUCGAAGAGACUUGCAAAGAUAUUUAAAUCAUGCAUAUAAGAAUUCAGAGAAGAACCAAAUAUUGUUCAUAGAUAAUCUUGGUCAUAAAUCCACAAUUCAUCGAAUCUCGACAAACACACCGCAAAAAGAAUGACAUCCAAUAGAUCUCCAAGAGAAUCGAGGAGAACUUUGUAUUGAGAUCCAAAGAGAGAGAAGAAGCCAUCUAGCUAAUAACUAUGGACCCGAAGGUCUGUGGGAAACUACUCACACAUCAUCGGAGAGGCUAUGGUGUUGAUGUAGAAGCCCUCCGUGAUCGAAUCCCCCUCCGGCGGAGCGCCGGAAAAGGCCCCAAGAUGGGAUCUCACGGGUACAAAAGGUUGCGGCGGUGGAAAUAGGGUUUUGUGGUGCUCCUGGAUGUUUUAAGGGUAUAUGGGUAUAUAUAGGCGAAGGAAGUAGGUCGGUGGAGCUAUGAGGGGCCCACCAGGGUGGGGGAGCGCCUGGCCCCCCUAGGCGCGCCGCCCUACCUCAUGGCCGCCUGGUUGCUUCCUCGACCUCCACUCCAAGUCUCCUGGAUUGCGUUUGUUCCAAAAAAGAUCCUCGCGAAGGUUUCAUUCCGUUUGAUAUUCCUUUUCUGCGAAACACUAAAAUAGGCAAAAACAGCAACUAGCAUUGGGCCUCUGGCUAAUAGGUUAGUCCCAAAAAUAAUAUAAAAGUGCAUAUUAAAGCCCAUUAAACAUUCAAAACAGAUAAUAUAAUAGCAUGGAACAAUCAAAAAUUAUAGAUACGUUGGGGACGUAUCAGCAUCCCCAAGCUUAAUUCAUGCUCGUCCUCGAGUAGGUAAAUGAGAAAAAACAGAAUUUUUGAUGUGGAAUGCUACCUAACAUAAUUUUCAAUGUAAUUUUCUUUAUGGUGGCUUGAAUAUUCAGAUCCGAAAGAAUCAAGACAAAAGUUUAAUAUUGACAUAAAAUAAUAAUACUUCAAGCAUACUAACAAAGUAAUCAUGUCUUCUCAAAAUAACAUGGCCAAAGAAAGUUAUCCCUACAAAAUCAUAUAGUCUGGCUAUGCUCUAUCUUCAUCACACAAAAUAUUUAAAUCUUGCACAACCCUAAUGAUAAGCCAAGAAAUUGUUUCAAACUUUUGAUGUUCUCAAACUUUUUCAAUCUUCACGCAAUACAUGAGCGUGAGCCAUGGACCACUAGUGCAGAACCGGGCAAUAGCACCGGUUCGUAAGGCCCUUUAGUGCCGGUUUGGUAACCGGCGCUGAAGUGUAGGCACUAAAGCCCCCCCCCCUUUAGAACCGAUCAUAUAUAUCAUCGAAUAUCUCACAACCACCAUUAAUUAAUUCACACAUAUAUACACACAUGCAUAUAUAUAUAUAUAUAUAUAUAUAAUUUCUCCUAAUUGGUGCCUUCGGAGCCAGUGGCAUUAGCCUAAUUGGUGCCUUCGAAGUACGAUACAAUUGGAAGUGGUUCAUGGGGGUGGUAGCGGGUAAUAGUAUUCUCCUUUGGGAUCUAUGACCUGGUCGAGCAAAAAUCCCGCUAUUUCCUCUUGAAUUGCUUAUAUGCGCUCCGUUGGUAGGAGCUGCUCCGGCACCUCUUUGAACUGUUAAGAAGGGGAUCAAUAUGCAUGUGUAUUAGUUGUGUGACUAGAUAUCGAUAAUGGUGUAAAAAUUGUGAAUAGUGUUCUGAAAAACGUACCCACUCCUGUCUUUGAGAUUUGCUCCUUUCGGACGCCAUCAUGCGAAUGUUCUUGCAAACGUAGUAUGCACACAGAUUAUUCCCCAGUGCUUGCUUCAGGGCCUUUACGAGAAUGGAAUUUGAUCAGAUAAUAAUAAAUCAAGCAUGAUAAUUAAAGAUAUGGCAGCUAGCUAGUACUACUGAAUUACUUACCUGGGGUCGAUACCAUUUCAGAUCUUGUUUCCAUGGGCCUAGAGUGGCCCUGAUGAACUUUUCCCAAGCCCUGCCCGCCGACAAAGAAAAUGAAUAAAUAGGUUAUUAAAUAGUUGUUAUCAGGAAAUGAAGAACUAAUUAAAUAGGGCGAGAUAUAGUUAAUAAUGAUUGAAAUUACCUGUUGACUAUCCCCUUCACAAUGGUGUAGUCACUUGCUUUCUUAAGUAGUGAGUCUAGUACUUCAACUGUUCCUUCAUCAACUUUAAUGAUUAACAAGAUCUAGUGAAAUUUGCAUGCACACAUGUUUGCAUGUCUUAAUUAAGCGGGCAUAUGUAAGCAAAAACAUGUAGCUAGCUAGUAGGAAAAAACAGAAUUUGUAGUACAAGACAGUGUGACUCACUCGAAGUUGUAAGGAAGUAGUAUAUCUCCAUUGUAUUUGAGGCACUUGAAGAACUCUAGCAUGCUUUCCUCUAUAGUUUUUUCGUAAUAUGGAUCUAAUUUCCAUGUGUAUUCAUUAAUGGUAUUUGGGUCAACGAACCCAAUGCCAUAGCGUCCACCUUUUUUCAUUUCAUAAAUCUUCAUCCUGCAUAAUACCACAGAAAAGAAUAUAGUGAGGAUAAUUACAGGUAAUGAUUGAUCAAAAUGAUCACUACAGCUAGCUUGAGACUUAAAUUACAGAAAGAAAUCACUUACAGACAAUAGCAAUUAACGAUAGAUUUGUCGAGUGCGUCUUGAUUGUAUAACUAAAACAGUUCUGAAUACUCAACGGCCAGAGCUUUCUCAUGGUAGUAAUGCUCCUCCUUGACAUUCACCAUGAGGGACUCUCGAUUGGAAAUCUUGGUAAUGUCCAUGUACCAUCGAUGCAAUUCAUACAUUCUCAUUGGGAGGUUCUUGACCUCGUCUGGCUCGACCAAAGGUUGGCCUCGGACAUAUUUCCAUUUUAUUUCCUCCUCUCUAGUCAGAGACAUGGGCUCGAUAUCGAGGAGUUGUCCAACAGUGAUCCCGAUCGUUUCAGCCUGCGCAAUAUGCUCCUCGAUUAUUACCACAUUGCCCACCCCUGGAAUGUUAAUGGUUUGCCCACAAUAAUAUUGGGCGCGCCUACUCUCAUGUGUUGUUGGCACAACAAGCGGGGGGAUUGAUUGCGCCGCCUGUUCUCCCAGCUGGGGAACGGUUUUACCGCUCCUUUUGUCAGCUGAUUUGCUCGAGCUCGAGCUCGCCUCUUUCUGCAAACGUGCUCGAUUUAACUUCUUGAUGUGGCGCUCAUAGUCUGUGUCAACAGGCUUGGGAGCUGGUGCUCUAGCCAUACGAAUGAAGUGGUCAAUCUUUUCCACAGGCACUUUCUCCCUUGGCGGUGAUGGCGGUUUCGGUGCAAAAUGGGCUUCCACCUCGGCCUUCGAUAUGGCUACGUUUUCCUCCUCGGACUUGUCAUAAGGCCUCUGCGGAAGAGGCGCGAGGCUUGGACCAUAUUGAAAUCGCUUGCCUUCACCUGUACCUCCAGUACUACCUCGACUUGUACCGCUAUGCACCAAGCUGAGGCGGCUCUCUUCUGUGAUUGUUGAGGCGGCGAAGACGGCUGAUGUGGCUGAGUUGGAGGAGGAGGAGUGGCCUAAAGCUGUGCCGGACUUGGAGGAGGAGUGGCCUGACGCUUUGCCGGACUUGGAGGAGGAGGAGUGGCCUGAGCUGUGCCGGACUUGGAGGAGGAGUGGCCUGACGCGUUGGUGGACUUGGAGGAGCAGGAGUUUGCUGACUCGGUGGCGGACUUCGACGAGGAGUCGGAUGACGCGGUGUCGGUGGCCUUCGAAAGAUGAUGCAAUCCUUUCUCCAUAGGACGAUACGAUGGUUGGCCUCUCCCGGUGUGUGCUCAUCGUCACCUCCAGAAAUGUCAAGCUCUAGCCCCGAAUAUUGGUCCACCACCUCAUCAACCAAGACACGAGCAUAGCCCGCUAGAAUCGGGUUGCAAUGGAAGGUUGCCUCAGGGGGAUUUGUAAAAGCAAGGGCGUUCGCCACCUUCAUGGAUAUGUUCUUCAUUUUGAAGUGUAGCUCGCAGUUAGUGUUCUCCAUGAUGUCAUCCACUGGGUAGCUAUCCAGCAAUGUGUCGCCCGGGGUGGAACCCACGCUGCUUCUCGGCAUGGAUGGGACGGUGCUAUCCAAUGGUGGAUCAUCCGCUAGCUGCUGAGACCCCCUUUGCUGGCUAAGUGAGUCGAUCUGCUCCUGCUGCCGCUGGAAUUUGACUGCCAAGUCUGUGUGCGCUGAUUCUAGGCCUUGAAGGCAUUCAUAGUCUAGCUUCCUCUGCUCCUCCUCCAUCUUCCUCUUCUUCUCCUCCGCAAUCUUCUUUCUCGCACGGGUUCUGUAGUCGGUGUUCCAGUCCGAAAACACCUCAUACCAUGGCAUAGCGCCCAUGCCUCAUGUUCUUCCCAGGUGUUCAAGAUUUCCCAGGGCACGCGUAAGCUCAUCGUUCUCUCUGUUGGGCUCGAACACCCCCGAUCGAGCCUCUUCUAUUGCAACAAGUAGCUUAUCUUCGGCUCCGCCCAGACAUGCCUUCUUCGAAACUUUGCCUGUCUUCGGGUCCAACUCCCCCCCAUGCGCAUAGAACCAAGUCCUGCACCUGGGGGGCCAGCUCAAUGUUUCUGGAGUGACACCUGCAUCCAGCAUCUCUUUCUCAGACUUAUCCCACUUAGGCAUUCCCACCGCAUAGCCACCUGGCCCCAGCUUAUGGAACUUAUCCUUUUUGUGGCAUUGGCCUUGUUUAUUCUCGACCAUUCCUUAGAUAAUUCCGAAUCCUUGAAUUUCAUGAAAUCAUCCCAAUGAGCACUUUUCUUCUCUAGUGUUCCCUCGAAUACUGGAGUCUUCCUUCCUCCCUUGACGUACUUGGCCCAUUCACGAAUCUUGUGGUUUUUGAAUGCAACCGCCAUCUUCUAAGAGCAGCGUCCUUGAAUUUCUCCACAUCUGCAUCUAUGAAAUGAUCUGGUAGGGUGAAAUGUUCCAUGAGCAUUUCCCAAAGCAGAAGUUUUUGUCUGUCGUCGACAAAAGUAACUCCUGGACGUGGCUUUGCUGGCUCUCUCCAUUCAUGAACGGAGAUUGGGAGUUGGUCCUUCACAAGAACUCCGCACUGACGAAUGAACUUGUCCGCAAUCUUCUUAGGCGCUAAUGGUUCGCCAUUAGGUUUGAUGGCCUCGAUAUUGUACUUUACACCCUCCUUCAACUUUUUUUCGGGCCUCGUUUCCUGUUGCCUGAACAUUUGCUCGAUCCGGAUGGCUGAGAGAAGAAAGAUCGAUUCGUUAAUAUAUCUUCAAGUCAUUUAAAACAUGUGAUGAUCACCAGAUGCCUGCUUAUAUAAAUAUAUAUACCUCGCCGGUCUUUGUUGUUUCAAGAUCAACAUUUUCUUCGUCAUGUUCAUAGUUCAUGACUUCAUCAAUUCGGUCGUCGCGAUCGAAUAUCAUAUCACCCUCCCCGGUGUUGUUUAGAUAUUCGGAGCCGUCAUAAUCUUCUUCAUUCUGAUCAUCAUCUAGCCCGCAAGGAUUGCGUAUGAUAUUGAACAGGGCCUCUUCUCCCUCUCUGCUGGUAUUGUCUGCCAUAGGUUUUGUUUAACUAAUCCAAAAGAAAUAUAUUCAAAUUACAAUACAUGGAUGCAAUCAAUUAAUAAGGAAAAACUGAAUCAAUCAUAGUACAUAAUAAGCAUCAUCGAAUAUAAUCUCAAAUACGUCGUCUCGAAUAAUAGAUAUAAUCUAGAAUACAUCAUCUCAAUAAUAGAUAUAAUCUCGAAUACAUUGUCUCGAAUAAUAGAUAUAAUAUCGAAUACAUCACUAGCUAGCUAGCAAGCAAGCUAAUAAAGAUCGAAUACUAUAGAGUAAUCUAGGCCACUCGCGGUUCCUGAGGUGCGGGCGGUGGACACCCAAAGAGAAGGAACCAUCACUAGAUCAUAGCUCGGGUGAUCUCCCAAAAGAACCUGCAAGGUAUUGGAGAACCUGACAUCCAUAGCAGCCAUGUAGCGAUGGACGUGCUCGUCCUCCUCCCUGACACGGCGACGUACCACCUCCGGCGGGACCGGCUCCCUCCGCACCGAAAGUGGCCCACGCGAACGCCACCAAAGGAGAUGAGGGUCGACGAUGGGACCCGGGGCCGGGCUCCUCACCAAGCGCCGCGCCCCUGAAGGUAGCACCUACCAGUGCUAGCCCGGCGGAGCCCAGUCCCGGACAUGGGUCCUCUGAAGCAGGCCGUCGUCGCGAACGGGUCGACGGCGAGGAUGCGGGCCGGGCAUCGUCGACAACAAAUACUAUAUGCCGCAAAAGUAAAGUAACAUUUUUUAAAUGAUGGAUUGUGAUUUCAUAUAUGCAAAUUCUAAAUUUUAUAACUAAAACUAACAUUUCUAAUAUUUCUAUAACUAGAACUAACAUUUCUAAUAUUUCUAUAACUAAAAAACAUUUCUAUAUAACUAACAUUUCUAUAUAACUAACAUUUCUAAUAUAACUAACAUUUCUAUAUAACUAACAUUUCUAAUAUUUCUAUAUAACUAACAUUUCUAUAACUAAAACUAACAUUUCUAAUAAUUCUAUAACUAAAAAACAGAAAGAUUGCUAACAAUUCUAUAACAAUGUGUGUGUGUGUGUGUGGUUGGUGGCCGGGCCAGGAACUCACCGGCGAGGCGCGACGACGGUGGGCGGCGAUGGGGUCGGGGACGGAAACGGAGACGGAGACGGGGCGGAGACGACGGGGACGGGGCGGCGACGACGGGGAUGGGCCGGGCAGGGACGAUGGGAGGACGGGCCGGGCGGGGACGACAGGAGGACGUGGCGGGGCGCAGCGCGGCGACGGGGACGGGGACGGCGACGGGGGCGGCGACGAGGGGUGGUGGCGAUGGGGCAGAGGAGAAAGAAGUAGGAAGAGAUGGGAAACCUACAAUUUUUUUUGAAGUGUUUUCUUAUAUACAACCCACCUUUAGUACCGGUUGGAGCCACCAAGCGGUACUAAAGGUCUGUUUUGGCCAGGCGAAGCGGCGGGAACCGCACCCCCUUUAGUACCGGAUCGUGGCACCAACCGGUACUAAAGCCCCCCCCCCUUUAGUACCGGUUGGAGCCACGACCCGGUACUAAAGAGUGUGCGCUGCCAGGCGAGGGGUGCAAAAGUUUAGUCCCACCUCGCUAGCCGAGGGGCACUCGCACCUGCUUAUAAGCCCCGCCGUCGCUGCUAUCUCGAGCUCCUCUCUUAAGCAGGCCUUCUGGGCCUACCUCUUCUGCGAUGCCCUGUUGGGCCUACUAGCUAGCGGGCCUGCAUCCUGGCCCAACUAGAAUUUGGGUUUCUAGUCGUAUGCAGGCCGCUGUGGCCCAGUAGGUGGGCUUUUUUCUUAUUUUUUGCUUUAUUUAUUUUUGUUUUAUUUAUUUUAGAGUUGUUUUUUGCUGUAUUUAGAGUUUCUUUGUGAAUAUUUUUGCUUUAGGUACAAAAAAUUACAAACUUUAUGUUAGUACCGGUAGUUUACAAAUUUGAAUAGUUUAAAUUUUGAAUUAUUUGAAAUUUGUGUGAAUCACUAGUUUGUGAAUAACUUAACUUUGAAAAUAGAUUUUUUAGUGAUUCUUUUUUGUUAUGUUUAAUAUUAGUGUGUUUUAUCAUUAUAUUCAAUUUGGUAAUGCUUAGGUUAUUUAAAAAAUGAAAUGCCUUUGUAACGGAUGAGUUUUCGUCCGAAACCCUGAUACUUCGAAAGAGAUUGUCCAUUUUGUACACGGAAUGCAUCCAGUUUUUGCGGUAACCCUCUCUACUUUUUUGCACAUGCUAUGUGGGUGAAAUUAUGGUACCAUGCCAACUUUCAACCUUUUCUGAGUUCAUUUGAAAUGCUUUUCAAUUUCAGGGUCAUUUAGCUGAAAAAAUCAGGAAAUGCAUGAAAGAAUUUGCUUGCACAUAAAAUUUCUUCGCGUUUCAAAUGCCAAAACACAUAACUAGCUACCCUAACUAUUACAGAGAUUCCCUCCUGGGUGUGAAACACAGAAGAAAGUGAUGAUAGUGAAGUCGAUCACAUCCCAGAUCAUUGGGUAUGAAACUUUUUCUUCGCGUGUGUCCCUUUGCGCCGUAGCCAUGGAAAAUCUUCAUCAUUUAACUGGAUGCUCGGGUCAAUAUUCACUGUGAAUGGAGCAAUUUCAUCAAGCUUUUCAUAAUCUUCUGACAUGUCUGUCUUGUCAUCCACUCCCACGAUGUUUCUCUUCCCAGAAAGAACUAGGUGCCGCUUUGGCUCAUCGUACGAUGCAUUCGCUUCCUUAUCUUUUCUUUUUCUUGGCUUGGUAGACAUGUCCUUCACAUAGAAAACCUGUGCCACAUCAUUGGCUAGGACGAAUGGUUCGUCUGCAUAUGCAAGAUUGUUGAGAUCCACUAUUGUCAUUCCGUACUGCGGGUCUUCCGUUACCCCGCCUCGUGUCAUAUUGACCCAUUUGCACCGAAACAAAGGGACCUUAAAACCACGUCGAUAGUCAAGUUCUCAUAUGUCCUGUAUAUAACCAUAAGAUGUUUCCUUUCCUGUCUUGGUUUCUGCAUCAAAGUGGACACCACUAUUUUGGUUGGUGCUCUUCUUAUCUUGGGCGAUCGUGUAAAAUGUAUUACCAUUUAUCUCGUACCCUUUGAAAGUCAUUAUAUUCAAAGAUGGUAACUGGGACAGCAAGUACAGGUCAUCUUCAAUAGAGGCAUCAUGCAUGGUACAUGUCUGCAACCAGCUGGCGAAACUCCUGGUUUGUUCACGUGUAAUCCAGUCAUCAGACCGCUCCGGGUGUUUGGAGCGUAGCAAAUUCUUGUGUUCAUCCAUAUACAGAGCCACCAAGGCAGAAUUCUGUAGAACUGUGUAGUGUGCUUCAGUGAGAGAAUGUCCGUUCAUAGAUAUUAUUUGUUCCCCUCCUAGCGUGUCUUUUCCAUCCAGUCUGCCCUUAUGCCGCGAUUCAGGAAUACCAAUCGGCUUAAGGUCAGGAAUAAAGUCAAUACAAAAAUCAAUGACCUCCUCAUUUUCAUGGCCCUUGGAGAUGCUUCCUUCUAGCCUAGCACGGUUAUGAACAUAUUUCUUUAAAACUCCCAUGAACCUCUCAAAGGGGAACAUAUUGUGUAGAAAUACAGGACCCAAAACGUUAAUCUCUUCACAUAGGUGAACUAGGACGUGCGUCAUGAUGUUGAAGAAGGAUGGUGGGAACACCAACUCGAAACUGAAAAGACAUUGCACCAAAUCAUUCUCAAACCUUGGUAUGAUUUUUGGAUCGAUUACCUUCUGAGAGAUUGCAUUGAGGAAUGCACAUAGCUUCACAAUGGCUAAUCGAACAUUUUCUGGUAGAAGCCCCCUCAAUGCAACCAGAAGCAGUUGCGUCAUAAUCACGUGGCAGUCAUGAGACUUUAGGUUCUGGAACUUUUUCUCUGCCAUGUUUAUUAUUCCCUUUAUAUUCGACGAGAAGCCAGAUGGUACCUUAAUACUGAGCAGGCAUUCAAAGAAGAUUUCCUUCUCUUCUUUGGUAAGAGCAUAGCUUGCAUGACCCUGAUGUAUGCCGUCUUUUCCGUGCAUACGUUGAUGGUCCUCCCGUGCCUCAGGUGUAUCUUUUGUCUUCCCAUACACGCCCAAGAAGCCAAGCAGGGUCACACAAAGAUUCUUCGUCAUGUGCAUCACGUCGAUUGCGGAGCGGACCUCUAGGUCUUUCCAAUAGGGCAGGUCCCAAAAUAUAGAUUUCUUCUUCCACAUGGGUGCGCGUCCGUCAGCGUCAUUCGGAACAGGUUGUCCAACAGGACCCUUUCCAAAGACCACCUUCAAAUCCUUGACCAUAUCAUGUACAUCAGCACCAGUACGGUGGCGAGGCUUUGUCCGGUGAUCGGCCUCACCUUUGAAAUGCUUGCCUUUCUUUCUUACCGGAUGCCUGCUCUUAAGAAAUCGACGAUGUCCCAGGUACACAUUCUUCUUACAAUUAGCCAAAUAUAUACUGUCGGUAUCAUCCAAAUAGUGCGUGCAUGCGCGGUAUCCCUUGUUUGUCUGUCCUGAAAGGUUACUGAGAGCAGGCCAAUCAUUGAUGGUCAUGAACAGCAACUCCUUUAGGUCAAAUUCUUCCCCCAGGUGCUCAUCCCAUGCACGUACACCUGUUCCAAUCCACAGUUGUAAGAGUUCUUCAACUAAUGGCCUUAGGUACACAUCAAUGUCAUUGUCGGGUUGCUUAGGGCCUUGGAUGAGCACUGGCAUCAUAAUGAACUUCCGCUUCAUGCACAACCAAGGAGGAAGGUUAUACAAACAUAGAGUCACAGGCCAGGUGCUAUGGUUGCUGCUCUGCUCCCCAAAAGGAUUAAUGCCAUCUGCGCUUAGACCAAACCAUACGUCCCUUGCGUCAUCUGCAAACUCCUUCCCAUACUUUCUUUCAAUUUUUCUCCACUGCGACCCGUCAGCGGGUACUCUCAACUUUCCGUCUUUCUUACGGUCUUCUCUGUGCCAUCGCAUCGCCUUGGCAUGCUCUUUGUUUUGGAACAAACUUUUCAACCGUGGUAUUAUAGGAGCAUACCACAUCACCUUGGCAGGAAUCUUCUUCCUGGGGCGCUCGCCCUCGACAUCACCAGGGUCAUCGCAGCUGAUCUUAUAGCGCAAUGCACCGCAUACUGGGCAAGCGUUCAAAUCCUUGUACUCAUCGCGGUACAGGAUGCAAUCAUUAGGGCAUGUAUGUAUCUUCUGCACCUCUAACCCUAGAGUGCAGACAGCCUUCUUUGCUUCGUACGUACUCUCGGGCAAUUCGUUGUCCUUUGGAAGCAUAUUCUUUAUCAUUACCAGCAACUUUCCAAAUCCCUUGUCAGAUACACCAUUCUCUGCCUUCCAUUGUAGCAAUUCCAGUGUGGUGCCCAGCUUUUUCUUGUCACCUACGCAAUUCGGGUACAACAUUUUUUUGUGAUCCUCUAACAUGCGCUGCAACUUCUUCUUCUCCAAAUCACUUGUGCAGUUUCUCUUUGCAUCGGCAAUGGCCCGACCUAGAUCAUCAACGGGCUCAUCUGAUGCCUCUUCUUCAGCUUCUUCCCGCAUUGCCGGCUCAGCUUCUUCCCGCAUUACCGGCUCAGCUUCUUCCCUCAUUGUUGUAUCAUCGUAUUCAGGGAACCCAUGGCCAGGAUAGCUGUCGUCGUCCUCUUCUUCUUCAUUGUCUUCCAUCAUAACCCCUCUUUCUCCAUGCUUGGUCCAAACAUUAUAGUAGGGCAUGAAACCGGACUCAAACAGGUGGACGUGAAUGGUUCUUGACGUAGAGUAAUUGUGACCAUUCUUACAGCCAGCACAUGGACAAGGCAUAAAACCAUCCGCCCGCUUGUUUGCCUCAACCGCAAGAAGAAAAGUACGCAUGCCAUUAAUGAACUCGGGAGAGCAUUGGUCAUCGUACAUCCAUUGUCGGCUCAUCUUCAAUACAGAGCACCGAAAACACCAAAUUAAUACAAUACAUAAAGUUCAUACAUAAAGAUCAUACAACACUUAAAUGCAACUAACAAAUAACUCUCUAUCUAAAGAAUUUAAAUGCAACAACAAAUGCGAUCAAGAUCGCAACUAAGGUAACAAUUGAUCCAACAGCAUAAUGAUACCAAGCCUCACUAUGAAUGGCAUAUUUUCUAAUCUUUCUAAUCUUCAAGCGCAUUUUCUCCAUCUUAAUCUUGUGAUCAUCGACGACAUCGGCAACAUGCAACUCCAAUUCCAUCUUCUCCCCCUCAAUUCUUUUCAAUUUUUCCUUCAAAUCCUCGUUUUCUGUUUCAACUAAAUUUAACCUCUCGACAAUAGGGUCGGUUGGAAUUUCCGGUUCAACUACCUCCUACAUACAAAUAUCUAUGUCAACUUGAUGGGCAUAAUUUGUCAUAAACACGAAAUGCAAUGAAUAGUUUUAAAGAGAAUAUACCACAUCCGGAUCAUAACUCGGACGAGGGCCGAUGGGGACGGAUAUCAAAACCAUGGCACUAUGUAUAACAAACAACAUAUGGGUAAUAUAAUUAUACGAGUAACUAUAUAUCCAAAUCACACAAACAUCAAUUUUUUAUAUAAAACUUCAUGAACAAGAGGCUCACCACAAGGUGGUGCCGGCAACGGGACAUUGCGAGCGAUCGAUGGUGCUUACGACAGAGAUUUAGAAGGUACUAAGUAAACCACACCUACAUAUGCAAACUAAGUGUUAUUUUUGACCUCAAAUUGCAUAUAAAUCAAAUACUAGCACAUAUAUAUAAUUCCUCCCAAAUUACUAAACUCAAAAAUCAAUCACUAUAUAAAGCAUUGCACGAGCUAAUCUAGCAAUGAGAGAUGAAAGGACAAAGUUGCUAACCUUUGUGGUCAUUUGAAUGGAUGGGGGCCUUCAAAUCUUGACAAAUUUUGGGCAAAAUGUGUGAUGAGCUUGAGAGGAAGAGGGAAAAGAACAGAGAGGAGAGGGGAAAGGGGAAGAACAGAGCGAGCUCGGGUGGACGAAGGGUCUAUGUAGGACGACCUUUAGUACCGGUUCGUGAUAUGACCUGGUACUAAAGGUGCUGGAGGGGCCCCGGACUGACAACAUCCUGCCACCACUCACUUUAGUACCGGUUCGUGGCACGAACCGGUGCUAAAGGUUUGCCACGAACCGGUACUAAUGAGAGCGGCCGGCUAGCCAUUGGAACCGGCACUAAUGCACACAUUAGUGCCGGCUCAAAUUCAAACCGGCACUAAUGUGCUUCAUGUUUGACCCUUUUUCAACUGGUGGACAUAGCACUAUAGGUGGAAUAGAAUGGUGGUUGUGGAGAAGACAAAAAGGAGAAGAUAGUCUCACAUCAACUAGGCGUAUCAACGGGCUAUGGAGAUGCCCAUCAAUAUAUAUCAAUGUGAGUGAGUAGGGAUUGCCAUGCAACAGAUGCACUAGAGCUAUAAGUGUAUGAAAGCUCAACAAAAGAAAUUAAGUGGGUGUGCAUCCAACUCGCUUGCUCAUGAAGACCUAGGGCAUUUUGAGGAAGUCCAUCAUUGUAAUAUACAAGCCAAGUUCUAUAAUGAAAAAUUCCCACUAGUAUAUGAAAGUGACAAAAUAGGAGACUCUCUAUCAUGAAGAUCAUGGUGCUACUUUGAAGAACAAGUGUGGAAAAAGGAUAGUAGCAUUGCCCCUUCUCUCUUUUUCUCUCAUUUUUUUAUUUGGGACUUUUUAUCCUUUUUAUGGUCUCUUUUUUCGUCCAGAAUCUCAUCCCGACUUGUGAGGGAAUCAUAGUCUCCAUCAUCCUUUCCUCACAUGGGACAAUGCUCUAAUAAUGAAUAUCAUCACACUUUUAUUUACUUACAACUCAAGAAUUACAACUCGAUACUUAGAACAAAAUAUCACUCUAUGUGAAUGCCUCCGGCGAUGUACCAGUAUGUGCAAUGAAUCAAGAGUGACAUGUCUAAAAUUAUGAACGGUGGCUUUGCCACAAAUAUGAUGUCAACUACAUGAUCAUGCAAAGCAAUAUGACAAUGAUGAAGCGUGUCAUAAUAAAUGGAACGGUGGAAAGUUUCAUGGCAAUAUAUCUCAUAAUGGCUAUGGAAAUGCCAUAAUAGGUAGGUAUGCUGGCUGUUUUGAGGAAGGUAUAUGGUGGGUUUAUGGUACCGGCGAAAGUUGUGUGGUACUAGAGAGGCUAGCAAUGGUGGAGGGGUGAGAGUGCAUAUAAUCCAUGGACUCAACAUUAGUCAUAAAGAACCCACAUACUUAUUGCAAAAAUCUAUUAGUUAUCGAAACAAAGUACUACGUGCAUGCUCCUAUGGGGUAUAGAUUGGUAGGAAAAGAACAUCGCUCGUCCCUGACCACCACUCAUAAGGAAGACAAUCAAUAAAUAAAGCAUAUCUCUCAAAUUCACAACUACUCAACUAGCAUGACUUUAAUAUUACCAUCUUCAUAUCUCAAAACAAUCAUCAAGUAUCAAACUUCUCAUAGUAUUCAAUGAACUUUAUAUGAAAGUUUUUAUUAUACCCAUCUUAGAUGCCUAUCAUAUUAGGACUAAUUUCAUAACCAAAGAAAAUUACCAUGCUGUUCUAAAGGACUCUCAAAAUAAUAUAAGUGAAGCAUGAGAGAUCAGUAAUUUCUAUAAAAUAAAACCACCAUCGUGCUCUAAAAAGAUAUAAGUGAAGCACUAGAGCAAAAUUAUCUAGCUCAAAAGAUAUAGGUGAAGCACAUAGAGUAUUCUAAUAAAUUCCAAUUCAUGUGUGUAUCUCCAAAAGGGUGUGUAAAGCAAGGAUGAUUGUGGUAAACUAAAAGGCAAAGACUCAAAUCAUAUAAGACGCUCCAAGCAAAACACAUAUCAUGUGAUGAAUAAAAAUAUAGCCUCAAGUAAAGUUACCGAUAGACGAAGACGAAAGAGGGGAUGCCUUCCGGGGCAUCCCCAAUAUUAGGCUUUUGGUUGUCCUUGAAUUUUAACUUGGGGUGCCUUGGGAAUCCCCAAGCUUAGGCUCUUGCCAGUCCUUAUUCCAAAAUCUAUCAAAUAAUUACCCAAAAACUUGAAAACUUCACAACACUAAACUCAACAGAAAAUCUCAUGAGCUCCAUUAGUAUAAGAAAGCAAACCACCACUUUAAGGUAAUGUAAUUAACUCAUUCUUUAUUUAUAUUGGUGUUAAACCUACUAUAUUCCAACUUCUCUAUGGUUCAUACCCCCAGAUACUAGCCAUAGAUUCAUCAAAAUAAGCAAACAACACACAAAAAACAGAAUCUGUCAAAAAUAGAACAGUCUGUAGAAAUCUGUAGGUUUAGAAUACUUCUGUAACACAAAAAAUCCUGAGAAAUUAGGUAAUACUAUAAAACUAAAUAAUUUUUAUAGUUAUCCACUGCAGUUGGAAUUGGUAUUUUAUCGCUCACUGGUAAAAAACGAAAAUUAUUCUCGUGAGUGCAUACUUUCUGUUUUUUCAGCAAGAUCAAACGACAAUCAUCCAAGAAGAUCCUCAAGGCUUUACUUGGAUCAAUCACUAAUUAAACCAUAAAAAACACAAUGAUAACAUAGGAUAUAUGAUUUAUUUAUUACUAAAUAGGAAAAAAAGCAAGGAACAAAAAUAAAAUUGCGUUGCCUCCCAACAAGCGCUAUCGUUUAACGCCCCUAGCUAGGCAUAAAAACAAGAAUAGAUCUAGGUAUUGUCAUCUUUGGUGUUGGGAAAGAAAAGAGAAAAAUUCUUAUCUAUAGCAUUUAUCUUUCAAUUUUAAGAAAGCACACGGCCAUUAAUGGUGGAAGAAAGAUUAAGCACGCUAUGAAAAUUUGCAUCUAAGCUAGCCUUCAUCUCUUUGAUAAUUUCAUUUUGAUAAAAGCACAAAAGAGAGCUGGGUUCAACCCUCUCACUCAUGGAGUGCUCAAAUAUAGUUUUCAUCUUUUCAUAGGUAUCUAUGGCAUCCCCCUCAAGAAAACCUUCUUCAAAAAUAGAAUCUAAAAUUUGCUUGAAUGAAGAGGGUGAGCCAACAUAAAAGCUUUUUAGGUAUAUCUCAAUUUGAUAUUGGGGCACAUAGCUAGCUCGGCUCCUUAAUAACCUAUCCCAAGCGUCCUUCAAAGACUCAUCAAGCAAAUAACGAAAAAUUCCAGGAUCAUCUUCAUCGAAAUUAUCCAAACUCUCAUUGAUAACCCCGGUAGGUCUUUCCAUAGCAUCAUUAUUUAUGAGGUUAGAAAGGAUACAGGGUCUAUCCAAAGUACUAGAACUUGGGAGAGAACCCUUACCUCUUUUCGAUUCGGCCAUGGUGAAAGAAAGGAAAACGGGAAAGAGGCGAAUAAAACGGCAAGGGUGAAGUGGGGGAGAGGAAAACGAGAGGCAAAUGGUGCGAGGGAUAAGAGUUUGUGAUGGGUACUUGGUAUGUAUUGGCUUGAGUGUACAUCUCCCCGGCAAUGGCGCCAGAAAUGGCUAGUUGAUGGGAGAUCAAAUCUUGACUUGACUUGGUGCAACUCUCCCUGGCAACGGCGCCAGAAAUCCUUAUUGCUACCUCUCGAGCAUGCAUUGGUUUUCCCUUGAAGAGGAAAGGGUGAUACAGCAAAGUAGCGUAAGUAUUUCCCUCAGUUUUUGAGAACCAAGGUAUCAAUCCAGUAGGAGACUACACGCAAGUCGCCUAGUACCUGCACAAACAAACAAGAAACUUGCAACCAACGCGAUAAAGGGGUUGUCAAUCCCUUAAAAACCACUUGAAAAAGUGAGAUAUGAUAAAGAUAAUAAGAUAAAUAUUUUUUGUAUUUUUUUGUAUAGAUUGAAAAGUAAAGAUUGCAAAAUAAAUAGUAAACUAGAAUUGUAGAUCGGAAACUUAUAUGAUGUAAAGUAGACCCGGGGGCCAUAGGUUUUACUAGUGGCUUCUCUCAAGAGAGCAUAUAUUACGGUGGGUGAACAAAUUACUGCCGAGCAAUUGAUAGAAAAGCGCAUAGUUAUGAUGAUAUCUAGGCAUGAUCAUGAACAUAGGCAUCACGUCUGUGUAAAGUAGACCGAAACGAUUCUGCAUCUACUACUAUUACUCCACACAUCGACCGCUAUCUAGCACGCAUCUAGAGUAUUAAGUUCAUAAGAACAGGGUAACGCAUUAGGCAAGAUGACAUGAUGUAGAGGGAUAAACUCAAGCAAUAUGAUAUAAACCCCAUCUUUUUAUCCUCGAUGGCAACAAUACAAUACGUGCCUUGAUGCCCCUGCUGUCACUGGGAAAGGACACCGCAAGAUUGAACCCAAAGCUAAGCACUUCUCCCAUUGCAAGAAAUAUCAAUCUAGUAGGCCAAACUAAAUGGAUAAUUUGAAGAGACCUGCAAAGAUAUCAAAUCAUGCAUAUAAGAAUUCAGAGAAGAAUCAAAUAUUGUUCAUAGAUAAUCUUAAUCAUAAACCCACAAUUCAUCAGAUCUCGACAAACACACCGCAAAAAGAAUUACAUCGAAUAGAUCUCCAAGAACAUCGAGGAGAACUUUGUAUUGAGAACUAAAGAGAGAGAAUAAGCCAUCUAGCUAAUAACUAUGGACCCGAAGGUCUGUGGUAAACUACUCACACAUCAUCGGAGAGGCUAUGGUGUUGAUGUAGAAGCCCUCCAUGAUGGAAUCCCCCUUCGGCAGAUCAGCGGAAAAGGUCCCCAUAUGGGAUCUCACGGGUACAAAAGGUUGCGGUGGUGGAAAAGUGGUUUUGUGUCUCCCCUAGAUGUUUCCAGGGUAUAAGAUUAUAUAUAGGUGAAGGAAGUAGGUCGGUGGAGCUAAGAGGGGCCCACGAGGGUGGGGGCGCGCCGCCCUACGUCGUGGCCCCCUCGUUGCUUCCUUGACCUCCACUCCAAGUCUUCUGGAUUGCGUUUGUUCCAAAAAAGAUCCUCCUGAAGGUUUCAUUCCGUUUGGAUCCCGUUUGAUAUUCCUUUUCUGUGAAACACUAAAAUAGGCAAAAAAAAUAGCAACUGGCACUGGGCCUCCGGUUAAUAGGUUAGUCCCAAAAAUAAUAUAAAACUACAUAUUAAAGCCCAUUAAACAUCCAAAACAGAUAAUAUAAUAGUAUGGAACAAUCAAAAAUUAUAGAUAUGUUGGAGACGUAUCACCGAACUUGGAGGAGGAGGAGUUGCCUGACGCGUUGGUGGGAUUGAAGGAGCAGGACUGUGCUGAGGCGGUGGUUGAUGAUCACUUGGAGGAGCGGGAGAUUGCUAACACGGUGGCGGACUUCGAGGAGGAGUCGGCUGACGCGGUGUCAGUGACCUUGGAAAGAUGAUGCAAUCCUUUCUCCAUAGGAUGAUACGAUGUUUGGCCUCUCCCAGUGUGUGCUCCUUGUCACCUCCAGGAAUAUCAAGCUCUAGCUCGGAAUAUGGGUCCACCAAUUCAUCAACCACGACACGAGCAUAGCCAGCUGGAAUCGGGUUGUAAUGGAAGGUUGCUUCGGGGGACUUUGUAUAAGCAAUGGCGUCUGCCACCUUCAUGGAUAUGUUCUUCAUUUUGAAGUGUAGCUCACAAUUAGUGCUCUCCAUGAUGUCAUCCACAGGGUAUCUAUCCAGCAGCUAUGCCUCACCCGGGGUGGAACCCACGCUGCUUCUCGGCACGGAUGGGACGGUGAUAUCCAAUGCUAGAUCAUCCGCUAGCUGCUGCCACUGCUGAGACCCCCUUUCUUGGCUAUGUGAGUCGAUUUGCUGCCUCUACCGCUGGAAUUGGAGUGCCAACUCUGCGUGCUUUGAUUCUAGGCCUUUAAGGCGUUCUGCUUCCUACUUCCACUGCUCCUCCUCUAGCUUCCUCUUCUUCUCCUCCUCCAUCUUCCUUCUCGCAUGGCUUUUGUAGUCGGCAUUCCAGUCCGCAAACCCCUCAUACCACGGAACAAUGCCUUUGCUUCGUGUUCUUCCUAGGUGUUCAGGAUUUCCCAGGGCACACGUAAGCUCGUCGUUCUCUCUAUUGGGCAUGAACACCCCUGUUCGGGCCUCUUCUAGUGCAACAAGUAACUCGUCCUCGGCUCCUGGGGGGCAUCUCAAUGUAACUGGAGUGACCGCUGCAUCCACCAUCUCUUGCUCAGACUUAUCCCACUUAGGCAUUGCCACCGCGUAGCCACCUGGCCCCAGUUUAUGGAACUGCUCCUUUUUUGCAGCAUUGGCCUUGUUUACUCUCGACCAUUCCUUAGAUAAUUCUGAUUCCUUGAAUUUGACGAAAUCGGGCUUGUGCUCUCUUUGCUUCUCUAGUGUUCCUGUGAAUUCUGAGUCUUCUUUCCUCCAUCGGCGUACUUGGCCCAUAUACUUUUCUUGUGGUUGUUGAAUGCAACUGCCAUCUUCCUAAGAGCACUGGCCCUCACUUUCUGCACAUCUGCAUCUGUGAAAUGAUCUGGUAGGGUGAAAUGUUCCAUGAGAGAUUCCCAAAGUAGAUCUUUUGCUCUGUCGUUGACCCAAGUAAGAUCUGGACGUUGCUUUGCUGGCUUUUUUCCAUUCUUGCAUGGAGAUCGGGAGUUGGUCCUUCACAAGAACUCCGCACUAACGAACGAACUUGUUCGCAUUCUUCUUAGGCAAGAUUUCUUCUCCAUCAGUUUUGAUGGCAUCGAUGUUGUACUUUACGCCCGGCUUCAACUUUUUGGCCGGGCCUCGCACUGUUCUGCUAGCUGAUUUGCUCGAUCUGGAGGGCUGAAAGAAGAAAGAUCGAUUGGUUAAUAUAUCUUCAAAUCAUUUAAAACAUGUGAUGAUCACCAGAUGCCUGCUUAUAUAUAUAUACCUUGCCGGACUCUGUUAUUUCAAGAUCAACAUUUUCUUCAUCAUCAUAAACAUAGUUCUGGACUUCAUCAAUUCGCUCGUACCGAUCGAAUAUCAUAUCACCCUCCCCGGUAUUGUUAAGAUAUUGGGAGUCGUCAUCUUCUUCAUUCCGAUCAUCUGGUCGGACAGGGGAGCGUAUAAUCUCGAAAAGGGACUCUUCUCCUUCUUUGUUGGUAUUGUCCGCCAUAGCUUUUAUUUAACUAAUCCAGAAGAAAUAUAAAACAAUUUAGUAUUCAAAUUACAGUGCAUACAUGCAAUCAAUAAGGAAAAACUGAAUCGUAGUAUAUAAUAUGCAUCAUCGAAUAUAAUCUCGAAUACAUCGUCUCGAAUAUUAUCGAAUAAUAUAUAUAUAUAUCUCGAAUACAUCGUCUCGAAUAAUAUAUAUAAUCUCGGAUACAUCAUCUCAAAUAUUAUAUAUCAAAUAAAUAGCUAGCUAAUAAAGAUCGAAUACUACAAAAUAAUCUAGUUCACUCGCGGUUUCUGAGGCGUGGGCGGCGGAGACCUAAAGAGAAGGAACCAUCACAGCAUCAUAGCUCGGGUGAGAUCCCUGAAGAACCUGCCAGGUAUUGGAGAACCUGACGUCCAUAGCAGCCAUGUAGUGACGGACGUGCUCUUCCUCCUCCCUGACACGGCGACGUACCACCUCCGGCGGGCCGGCUCCCUCUGCACUGAAAGUGGCCCACGCGAACGCCACCAAAGGAGCUCAGGGUCGAUGACGGGACCCAGGGCCGGGUUCCUCACCAAGCGGCGCCCCCUAAAGGUAGAACCUCCUAGUGCCAGCCCGGCAAAGCCCAGACCUGGACAUGGGUCCUUUGAAGCAGGACGUCGUCACGAACGGGUCGACAGCGAGGAUGCGGGCCGGGCAUCGUCGAGAACAAAUACUAUAUGCAAACGUAACAUUUUUUAAAUAAUUGGAUUGUGAUUUCUUAUAUACAAAUUUAAAAAAUGAUAUCGUCGUUGCAUGCAUAUGUCAAAAUUCUAUAUGCAAAUUCAUCGAACUAAAAGUAUCUAAUUAAUUAAUUCAUCUAAAACCUUUUACAUUAAUCUAAUCUAAUUAAUUAAUUCAUCUAAAACCUUUGCAUAAAAAAUAGAAAAACUAAAAAAACUAAAAACUAAAAACAGAAAAACAUCUAUAGCUAAGGCAUCUACAACAUCUAGUGCAAAAGAUGAACAAAUUUUUUGUGUGUGUGUGUAUGUGCGCGUCUGUGCACCUACGGCGGCGCGGCAGCUUUGAUUGGUGGGAGGACCGAGGGAAGAGGGGCUCACAUCGCGGGCGAGGUCGAGGCGACGGCAAUGGCGAGGUCCAGGCGACGGCGACGGCGAGGCGAGGGGAUGGCAAUGGGCCGGUGCGGCGACGGGGGCGGCGACGGGGAUGGGCCGAUGACGGGGGCGGAGCGGAGUCGACAGGGACAGGGGCGGCGACACCAACGGCACGCGACGAGGGCAGCGAUGGGGUCGAAGAAGCAGAGGAGAAGAAACUGAAAAUUUCGUAAGUGUUGUAUAUAUAGGGAUGACCUUUAGUACCAGUUGGAGCCACCAACCGGCACUAAAGGUCAAAUUUUGCCAGGACAAGCGGCGGGAACGGCACCCCUUUAGUACCGGGUGGUGGCUCCAACCGGUAGUACAGACACCCCCCCACCCUUUAGUACCGGUUGGAUCCACGACCCAGUACUAAAGUGAGUGCGCUGGCGCAGGUGCGGUGCGGCAAGUUUAGUCCCACCUCACUAGUCGAGGAGCCCCAAGACCUGUUUAUAAGCCCCGGCGCGGGCACUGCAUUGAGCUCCUCUCUAAUGCAGGCCUUCUGGGCCUAACUCUACUACUCUUCCCUGUGCGGCCUACUGGGCUUGGCGGCCUAUAUCCUGGCCCAACUACAGGUUGGAUUUCUAGUCGUAUGCAGGCCGCUCUGGCCCAGUAAGUGGGCUUUUUUUAUUUAGUUUUUUCUAUAUUCUUCUUUAUUUAAAUUCUUUUAUUUAUUUCUGAGUUGUUUUUUGCUGUAUUCAGAGUUUCUUUGUGAAUAUUUUUGCUUUAGGUACAAAAAAUUACAAACUUUCUGUUAGUCCCAGUAGUUUUCAAAUUUAAAUAGUUUAAAUUUGAAUUAUUUGAAAUUUUUGUGAAUAACUUAACUUUGAAAAUAGAUUUUUCAGUGAUUAUUUUUUCUUAUGUAUAAUAUUAGUGUGUUUUGUCAUUAUAUUAAAUUGGUAAUACUUAGGUUAUGUACAAAAUGAGAUGCCUUUGUAACAGAUGAGUUUUCGUCCGAAACCCUGAUACUUCAAAAGAGAUUGUCCAUUUUGUACACGAAGUGCAUCCAGUUUUUGCCGUAACCCUCUCUACUUUUUUGCACAUGCUAUGUGGGUGAAAUGGUGAUACCAUGCAAACUUUCAACCUUUUCAGAGUUCAUUUGUAGUGCUUUUCAAUUUCAGGGUCAUUUAGCUCAAAAAAUUCAGUAAAUGCAUGAAAAAUAGAAAAUUAUGUCAGAAAGGUACAUGUUUGUCCGAAGCACAUACAUGUUUAAAGUGUGAAAACACAUAAGAACCCUAACUAUUACAAACAUAUACAAGUCCGGAAACUCACUAGAGGAUAAAGUGAUGACAGUGAAGCCGAUCACAUCCCAGAGUGGGACCUUUCGGCCGUGUGAAACUUUUUAUUUGCGUGUCCCCUUUGCGCCGUAACCAUGGACAAUCUUCAUCAUUUAACUGGAUGCUCGGGUCAAUAUUCACUCUGCAUGGAGCAAUUUCAUCAAACUUUUCAUAAUCUUAUGAUAUGUCUGUCUUGUCAUCCACUCCCACGAUGUUUCUUUUCCCUGAAAGAACAAUGUGGCGCUUUGGCUCAUCGUAUGAUGUAUUCGCUUCCUUACCUUUUCUUUUUCUCGGCUUGGUAAAUAUGUCCUUCACAUAGAAAACCUGCGCCACAUCAUUGGCUAGGAUGAAUGGUUCGUCUGCGUACGCAAGAUUGUUGAGACCCACUAUUCUCAUUCCGUAUUGCAGGUCUUCCGUUACCCCGCCUCGUGUCAUAUUGACUCAUUUGCACCAAAACAAAGGGUGAAUAAAUUUCUUGUGAUCAUCUAACAUGCGUUGCAACUUCUUCUUCUCCUUGUCACUUGCGCAGUUUCUCUCUACAUCGGCAAUGGCCCGACUGAGGGAGUCCUGGAUUAGGGGGUCUCCGGACAGCCGGACUAUAUCCUUUGGCCGGACUAUUGGACUAUGAAGAUACGAGAUUGAAGACUUCGUCCCGUGUCCGGAUGGGACUCCACUUGGCGUGGAAGGCAAGCUAGGCAAUACGGAUAUGGAUAUCUCCUCCUUUGUAACUGACCUUGUGUAACCCUAGCCUCCUCCGGUGUCUAUAUAAACCAGAGGGCUUUAGUCCGUAGGACAACAUACAAUCAUACCAUAGGCUAGCUUCUAGGGUUUAGCCUCUCUGAUCUCGUGGUAGACCAACUCUUGUACUACUCAUAUUAUCAAGAAUAAUCAAGCGAGACGUAGGGUUUUACCUCCAUCAAGAGGGCCCGAACCUGGGUAAAACAUCGUGUCCCCUGCCUCCUGUUACCAUCCGCCUUAGACGCAUAGUUCGGGACCCCCUACCCGAGAUCCGCCGGUUUUAACACCGACAUUGGUGCUUUCAUUGACAGUUCCUCUGUGUCGUCACCGUUAGGCUUGAUGGCUCCUUUGAUCAUCGAUAGCGAUGCAGUCCAGGGUGAGACUUUUCUCCGCGGACAGAUCUUUGUAUUCGGCGGCUUCGCACUGCGGGCCAACUCGCUUGGCCAUCUGGAGCAGAUCGAUAGUUACGCCCCUGGCCACCAGGUCAGGUUUGGAAGCUUAAACUACACGGCCAACAUCCGUGGAGACUUGAUCUUGGAUGGAUUCGAGCCCCUGCCGAGUGCGCCGCACGGUCACGAUGAGCAUGAUUUAGCUCUACCAUCGGACAGUGUUCAGGAGACCGCACCGGCAACUGCUCCGACCCUCAAUUCGGAGCCAAUUGCGCGCAUCCGUGGACCGGUGGAUAGAUCCCGCCACAAAGGCCGUAUUCUUAGCGAUGAUCGAGUCGAGUAUCAACCUUACCCUUCACGGGAGCCGUGAUGCCAAACUACCGGAUUCUUCCCUGGCCACGGACUCCGAACCGCCUGCGCCCGUCCCUAUCGAAUCCGAUUGGGUGCCGAUCAUGGAGUUCACCUCCGCGGAUAUCUUUCAGCACUCGCCCUUCGGCGACAUACUGAACUCAUUAAGGUCUCUCUCCCUGUCAGGAGAGUCCUGGCCGAACUAUGUUCGGCAGGAUUGGGAUGCGGAUGACGAAGAAAUUCGCCGCCCACCCACCACCCACUUAGUAGCCACUGUCGACAAUUUGACCGACAUGCUCGACUUCGACUCCGAAGACAUCAACGGUAUGGACGACGAUGCGGGAGACGAAGAGGAACCACUGCCCACAGGGCACUGGAUAGCCACCUCAUCAGAUGAUAUAUACAUGGUGGACACACACACAAAGAAGGCAAUGGCGACGAGACAGCGGAGGAUGACCCCUCCAAGAAGCAACCCAAGCGCCGACGUCAGCGGCGCCGCUCUAAGUCUCGCCAAAGCAAAAGCGGUGACACCGGCACAGGAGAUAAUAGCACUCCGGACAGUGCUGAAGACGACAACAAUCCCCUGCAGCAAGAUUUAGAGCAGGAGGAUGGAGAAGCCAGCCCUCCCGAGAGAGCGGCAGAUGGAGAGGCGUAGGACGAUAAUUACAUGCCUCCCUCCGAAGACGAGGCAAGCCUCGACGAUGACGAAUUGUUCGGGCCGAAGGAUCCCGUCGAGCAAGAGCGCUUCAAGCGCCGGCUUAUAGCCAUGGCAAAUAGCCUUAAGAAAAAGCAGCAGCAGCUUCAAGCUGAUCAAGAUUUGCUAGCUGACAGAUUGACUGAAGUCCUUGCGGUCGAGGAAUAUGAACUCGUACGCCCCUCCAAGAGUUACCCAAAACGCAGGUUGCUACCCCGACUAGAGGAGGAAGCAUUAAAACCUACAUCUCCAGCAUAUGGUGCGGCUGAUCGGCCACCUAGUGGCCGCGAUAGAGAGGCACUUCAGCCAAAAAAUCAGCCUGCACCCCGACGCCACUCAAAUAAAAAUGACAAGGCACGGGGAAACACACUAGACCUACAAGACGUAUUGGAGGACAAAGCAAAACACGCAAGAUCGAUCUACGGAUCACGGGGGCGCGCCACUAUGCGAGACGAUAACCGUCACGCCGGAUACAGUAAAAGUAAAUCCGGCCGGGCCGAACACAACGGACAAGACUCAUUCGAGCUACGUCGCGACACAGCCCACUACAGAGGUCCCGCACACCCCAUAUGCUUCACAGAUGAAGUAAUGGAUCACCAAAUCCCAGAGGGUUUCAAACCUGUAAAUGUCGAAUCAUACGACGGCACAACAGAUCCUGCGGUAUGGAUCGAGGACUUCCUCCUGCACAUACACAUGGCCCGCGGUGACGAUCUACACGCCAUCAAAUACCUCCCACUCAAGCUCAAAGGACCAUCUCGGCAUUGGCUCAAUAGCCUGCCAGCAGAAUCCAUCGGCUAUUGGGAAGAUCUGGAAGCUGCAUUCCUCGACAACUUCCAGGGCACUUAUGUGCGACCACCAGAUGUCGAUGACUUGAGCCACAUAAUUCAGCAGCCAGAGGAAUCGGCCAGGCAAUUCUGGACACAUUUCCUGACAAAGAAAAAUCAAAUCGUCGACUGUCCGGAUGCAGAGGCCCUAGCAGCUUUUAAGCACAAUAUCCGCGAUGAGUGGCUCGCCCGGCACCUUGGCCAGGAAACGCUGAAAUCUAUGGCAGCCUUCAAGACACUCAUGACCCGCUUUUGCGCGGGAGAAGACAGCUGGAUGCCUCACAGCAAUAAUAUAUCAAAGAACCAUGGUACUUAGGAUACCAAGGAUGGCAAUGGUAGGUCACAUCGCAACAAACACAAGCGCCGCAUCAACAACGACAAUAUCGAGGAUACGGCAGUCAAUGCCGGAUUCAGAGGCUCUAAACCCGGUCAGCGGAAAAAGCCAUUCAAAAGAAGCACUCCCGGCCCGUCCAGUUUGGACCGAAUACUCGAUCGCUCGUGCCAAAUACAUGGCACCCCCAACAAGCCAGCUAACCACACCAACAGAGAAUGUUGGGUGUUCAAGCAGGCCGGCAAGUUAAAUGCCAAAAACAAAGAUAAGGGGUCACAUGGCAAUGACGAGGAGGAGCCCCGGCAGCCGAACACCGGAGGACAGAAGAGGUUCCCCCCACAAGUGCGGACGGUGAACAUGGUAUACGCACCCCACAUCCCCAAGAGAGAGCGGAAGCGUGCGUUAAGGGAUGUAUAUGCUUUGGAGCUAGUCGCCCCAAAGUUCAACCCAUGGUCCUCCUGUCCGAUCACCUUCGAUCGCAGGGACCAUCCCACUAGUAUCCGUCAUGGCAGAUUCGCCGCACUGGUCCUAGACCCAAUCAUCAACGGAUUUCACCUCACUCGAGUCCUUAUGGACGGCGGCAGCAGCCUGAACCUACUUUAUCAGGACACAGUGCGCAAAAUGGGUAUAGACCCUUCAAGGAUCAAACCCACAAAAACGACCUUCAAAGGCGUCAUACCACGUGUAGAGGCCCAUUGCACAGGCUCAGUCACACUGGAAGUAGUCUUUGGAUCCCUGGAUAACUUCCAGAGCGAAGAGUUAAUCUUCGAUAUAGUCCCAUUCCGCAGUGGCUAUCAUGCACUGCUCGGGCGAACCGCAUUCGCGAGAUUCAACGCGGUACCGCACUAUGCAUAUCUCAAGCUCAAGAUGCCAGGGCCUUGGGGUGUCAUCACAGUCAAUGGAAACAUAGAGCGCUCUCUUCGCACGGAGGAGCACACUGCGGCCCUCACAGCAGAAGCGCAAAGCAGCCUUUUAAGGCAAUCCACCAGUUCGGCGAUUAAAACCCGGACACCUUCAAGCGCGCCCGGAGUAAUCGGCAACAAGACCGCCUGGCACGUUCCGAGCUCACAUAGAAAUGUGGCCCCUACCCCAGUCCCAGCCAAACGGCGAAAUUCAUGCCAUGCGUACAUAAUUACGCAUUGAAAAUACCAUGGGCACAGGUGGGGAGGGGGACGACUACGGCACGCCCCAAGACGCGGCUCAACUACACUAGGGGCUUCCCGCUUUGUUAUUUUUUUCUUUCAGUAUGAUUGCCGAACACACGAUACAACAACCAAGGAGGCAGAAAGCUACGUCACAUCAAGGAAUUCUUAGGUGGUCUCUGAUAACGAGUGAAAUACCUGCUUUAAAUACCAUUCCUCAGCUUGCCCUUGGAGGGGACAUGUCAAAUAGUCCUACUUUUUGCUUAUCGCACUACUUGUAUCAUUCUGCUUCGAUGCACCUUUUUGAAUAAACAAUGCAUAGCACUAGACUAUUAUCACAUUCUUAUAUAUAUAUAUAUAUAUAUAUGUUCAUUCAUGACAUUCAGCAACCGUACACUCUGGUACGGCCAAUACGCCAGGGGCUUAAGCAUACCCCAUAAUACGGCGUGAGAAGUCCGAACACUUUCGAUAGUGCGGCACCCCGAACUUAUAGCAUUAUAUGCAUCAGCUCCGAAUCAUGUCUUGGGUCAAUAGUUGGGUUUGCCCGGCUCCUAUGUUUUGGUACCUUACGUUCCGCUAUGUCGGCUAAGGUAGCACUGGGAGAACUACUGCGAUUGUGCCCCGGUUCAUCUGGGCUAAGCACCUUAGUAGAGAAAGCUAAAACUGACUGUCAUGAUAAGGCGAGAGCUGGUCGUUGUUCGAGAGGUCUCGAGUCCUUAAAGACUUAUGCCGCUUAGAGCGAGGAGUCGGCUUUGUCCGUCUUAAGGCGUGUAUAGCGCCCCAAAUUCGGCCUUCCGAAUACUAGGGGCUUCGCCAAAAUUAAAAAUUGUAGACUUCUAUGGCUAAGUGAGAGUGAUAAAGCAUUAUAGUAUGAUUGCCUUGUUCGUUGUGUUGAGCUCCUCCCUCGAAGGACCCAACAAUCGGAAAAAGAGUGAUCAAGUUUAUCCCGAACACCCCAGCACUCGUGGCAUGGGGGCAGAAGCCGACGACUGGCCAUCUCUCAGAUUUGAUAAACAGCCGCACAGAAGGUAAUAAUUUAAUUUCAAACAAGCGUUGCAUAGCGCAUAUGAACAAGUUUUCAUAGUACAGGAUCACACGAGCAAGUUCAUUCAAAAAUUACAUACUUCGCAGACUCGUCCGCCACAAGACGGGCACCCUUCAGAACACCCUCAUAAUACAUUUCGGGGUGGCGAUGCUCCUUGCCCUACGGCGGCCCCUCCUUCACCAGCUUCUCGGCAUCCAUCUUGGCCCAGUGCACCUUCGCACGGGCAAAAGCCCGGCGUGCACCCUCGAUGCAGACGGACCACUUUAUGACUUCCAGCCUUCCACAAGCCGCCUCACCAGGCUGAAGUAGCUAUUGGGAAGGGAAUCGCCAGGCCACAUCCGGACUAUAAGGCCCCUCAUGGCCUGUUCGGCCGCCUUGUGCAGCUCGACCAGUUGCUUUAGCUGGUUGCUCAUAGGCAUCGGGUGUUCGAUCCCAGUAUACUGAGAGCAGAACAACUUCUCCGUCGAGCUUCCCUCCUCGGCCUGGUAAUAUUUCACGGCAUCCGACACGCUGCGGGGCCAAUCUGCGAAUGCUCCUGGAGAGCUCCGGACUCGGGUAAGUAACAAGUAAUUUACUUUCACAUGCUUGCUUUGCAUAUUGAAUGCCUUACCCGCCGCUAUCUUCCUCAUCGCCUCAAUCUCCUAGAGGGCCUUUUGGGCUUCAGCCUUGGCAUGCUUUGUGCUCUCGAGGGCCGCGGCAAGCUCGGCCUCUCGCAUCUUUGAAUCAAGCUCCAAAGCCUCGUGCUUCUUCACGAGAGCCUGGAGCUCUUGCUGCACCUCGCCCACCCGUGCCUCUUGUUUUUCCCGCUCGGUGCGCUCCUUGGCCGCUUUGUUUUCGGCCUCGGACAACGCUUGCUUCAGGGUCGCCACUUUGGUCGUGGCCCCUGGCACAUCCCUGAUGUUCCUACCAUUUUGCAACUACAUCUUAUAUAUAUAUAUAUAUAUAUAUAUAUAUAUAUAUAUAUAUAUACAUAAACACUAUUCUGAUCACGGGAUCAGAAUAGUUAUUCUGAUCACAACCUGACCUGCCCCGCUAGUAGUACGUUGAACUUCCCUGUGAACUAGGUUGAACUUCCGCCAACAUUACCCAAAUGGGGCUUGCGAUAUACCGUUGGAAAGCUAUGGACCCCAAUAUCAUGAUCCAACUUAAUGUUUUGGCAAAAUAUAAGCGGUUUAAGAGCAGUUUUGAAAACCGUUUUUUCUUCGCACAAAAAAUGUGAAUCGUAUUUUCGAUCGCAUUUCUAAACCGUUUAUUGGAAUGAGUCAUAUAAUAUGGCGUUGGAAAGCUGCUGUAAAACUGCUCCUUCCACAUGUUGAAAGUUUUCUCUAAUUCCCUAUGGUUAAAUAGUAAUUUGAAAAAACGUAAAAUUUCGUAAACCGAACAGCUGAGUUCGUUUUUUCCAUGUCAUUUCUAAACGGCUAAUCCAAUGGAGGCAUAUGAUACAGCGUUGGAAAUCUUGUGAAAAUGUGCUACUUUUUCAUCUUUAAAGUUUUUUUCUAAUUUUGAAUGGUUUAAGAGUAAUUUAGAAAAUGGUCCAAGUCCUACCGAGUUCGUAUUUUCAAGCUAAUUUUUUAACCGUGCGUCCGAAUGCAGCAAAUGAUAUGGCAUUGGAAAGCUUGAACAAAUGCGAAACUUUUUGGUAUGUAUUGUUUCUCUCAAUUCUUUACGAUUUUCAGUCAGUUUCGAAAAUGGCGAAAAAUGUAUUUUCACCGUAAUUUCUACAAACUUUAACGGAAAGGCGCAAAUAAUAUCCCAUUGAAAAGCUACACAAAAUGCGAAACUUUUUCAUGUUGAUUGUUUUCUCUGAUUCUUAGCCGUUUUCAAGUAAUUUCGAAAAUGGCAGGAUCAUUCGUUCUGCCUCUAUCGCGAAACAGAUUAUUCCAAAAUGCACCGCGUGAAGAACCUGAACUUCUCGGCGCGUGUACCUGAACUUCACUCUAUUUUUCACGUGAUUUUUUUGCUCGCAGGUCUCCAUCCACUUCUCGUAACUCUCCAUCCAUACACCGGAAUUGAGUAGGUGAUAUACCAAUGGAAAGCUGUUGUAAGCACGCAAGUUUCCCGUGUUGAUCGUUUUUUCGUACUCGCGAUGAUUUUUAAAGUUAUUCAUCUGAAAUUCAUUCAGUGCAGUAGUUAAACUUCCUGCUGUUUUCACGUUGAACUUCUAUGGCGUAUUUUCGUUUGUAAUUUUCUCAUCCAUUCAUCUGUGUUACAUAAAUGAUAUUCCUUUUAUAUAAACCUCUCUCACAAUAAUUUUUUUAAAUUUCUCCGACGAGGACUUGAACUUACACAAAUGAUAUUCCUGCCAUUUUGAAGUAAUUUAGAAAAUGACAAGAUCAUAAGUUUUGCCUUCAUCAUGAAUGGAAAUGCACUGUGUGAAGUAGUUGAACUUCUCGGGCACGUUUGUUUGAACUUCACUCUGUUUCUGACAUGAUGUUUUUUGCAUGUAACUUCCAAAUCACUUACCGGAAUUGAGCAAAUGAUAUACCGAUGGAAAGCUUUUGCAAACACACAACUUUUUCGUGUUGUUCAAUUUUUCAUACUCGCGACCUUUCAAAAUAUAUUUUUUUAAUGCGUAAAAAUGUGUUUUUCACGGUAUACAUAAAACUUUUAAACCAUUCAUCGAAAUAUAGCAUAUAAUAUACCAUUGGAAAGCUUAUGAAUAGGAGCAUCUCUUUCAUGUAGACACACGUUACAAAUUUUUAUCGUUUGAGAGCAGUUUUAAAAAUGGCAAAAACAACAUCAUUUUUUCUGUUUUUUAUACAUAAUUGAAGGUCAGACGUCUCGCGCUAGAGAUCUUGAACUUCAUCAGGAGGAGCACUUGAACUUCUUGCAACAAACCAUUUUUAACCUUUUUCUUUUAUAUUUCUUAUAUUACUAUCUGAAAUGCAUUCCUUGCAGUAUUGAACUUCUCGUUGUUUUCACCUUGAACUUCUGUCACUUUUUUUGUUUAACCUCUCUCGCAAGAAUUUUUGAACUUUCUCGGGCCGAGCACUUAGUAACAAAACUUUCGGCCCUUUGCUUUUUGAUUCUUUUUUUUGCAUACCAAUGCACACCGUGUAGUACGUGAACUUCUGGUAGUUAUCAAACCGCACUUCUCUCGGUUACGUGAAAAUAUCUGAGUUUUUUAUAGAUAGUGAACUGAUCUACCUUUUUUACUUCUAGGUUUUUUUAGAAACAAGAAAAUUUGGUUCAAAAAAUUAAACUACAAUAUUUGUUUAAUAUAUAUAUAUCUUGAUUUUCUAAUAAAUAUUGAACUUCUUCUUAUUAUAAUUUGAACUUCUAGGUUUUUUUGUAGAAAUGAGUAAAAUCCAUUUCUCUAUAUUUUUUGAAGUGCUCUAUUUAUUCAAGUUGAACUUCUUGGUUUAUUCAUUGGUAACAAUGGAAAUCAUAGUUUUUUAAUAACAUUUGAGCUGCUCCAUCAUUUAAAUUUGACUCCUAGGUUUUUUUAGAAACGAGGAAAUUUUGUUUUCUUUUGUUAAAAAAUUGAACUAUUCCGUUAUUUCAUUUUGACCUUCUUGGGGUUUUUAGAAUUUGGAAAAAUAUAUCUUUGUUACAACAUCAAACACCUUUCUUAUUUUAAUUUUUGUUUAAAAAAUAUCAACAACACAUGGCUCACUACAUUUUUUUAUUUGCACUAAUUUUACUAUAUGUGAACUUGUCCUUAUUUUAUAUUUGAACUUCUCACAUGAAACUAAUAUUUUCAUUGUACAAACUAUGUGUUGCCAGCUACAUUGGCAAGACACAAAUGCAUAAUUUUGUGUAGAAAACAUUGGAUCCCAAAGCACUUUGUAUCUCUCAAAAGAAUGUGUCGUUAACUUUUUUUUCUCACACCAAAUGUCUCGAAAGUACAUAGACAGAAAUGACACAUUAACGAUUUCCACAAUUUAUAUGUCUCUCUCUCCAUGAAACACAAGCCUCGAUAGAAGCACACAAGAAGAAUUAGCACUUCAGAGCGGGGAUGCAUUUUGGAGAAGAAAACUCCUUUUUCCCAUUCAUUUUUUGAAGGACCCAUGAAACUGAAGCAACUUUUUUGCACCAAUAGAUACUACUGAACUUUAGACAAAAAGUCAUUUUGAAACAAUACAUGGUCAUAACAGCAGCAGGGAAGCGAGAUUUCUGCUACAGGAGCAAAUACGAAGCAGUAGCGAUCUGAUCAUUUGUGUUCAAACUUAGUUGGGUUCACAACAUAAACUUCAAAAAAAUCUACACAUCAUACACCACAGCACGCAAGCAACACACCCAGCGCUCACAAAAAUGCCAGGACGCACACACACACACACCAGUGCAUGAACAAACGCAUUCAGCACGCACCCUACGUCUUGCUCAGGGCGCACUCGGAGGGCGUUGGUGGACUGGCCGCGGAGGUCGUGAGAACGCAAGGCAGACGCGGCGGCGGACGGGACGCGGAGCUCAAGGCAGAUGGUGGUCGUGACGGCGCUCCAUCCAAAAACGAGAUCGCACACCACACAGCGCCUUGUAUCCAUCGACAAGAUGCUAAAAGCAAGUAGUGCAAGUGAUUAAGGACUCCGA
rnacentral:lncRNA from 1 species